AUUGAACGCUGGCGGCAUGCCUUACACAUGCAAGUCGAACGGCAGCACGGGUGCUUGCACCUGGUGGCGAGUGGCGAACGGGUGAGUAAUACAUCGGAACAUGUCCUCUAGUGGGGGAUAGCCCGGCGAAAGCCGGAUUAAUACCGCAUACGAUCUACGGAUGAAAGCGGGGGACCUUCGGGCCUCGCGCUAUAGGGUUGGCCGAUAGCUGAUUAGCUAGUUGGUGGGGUAAAGGCCUACCAAGGCGACGAUCAGUAGCUGGUCUGAGAGGACGACCAGCCACACUGGGACUGAGACACGGCCCAGACUCCUACGGGAGGCAGCAGUGGGGAAUUUUGGACAAUGGGCGAAAGCCUGAUCCAGCAAUGCCGCGUGUGUGAAGAAGGCCUUCGGGUUGUAAAGCACUUUUGUCCGGAAAGAAAUCCUUGGCCCUAAUACGGUCGGGGGAUGACGGUACCGGAAGAAUAAGCACCGGCUAACUACGU
rnacentral:rRNA from 1 species